UACGUAGGGUGCAAGCGUUAAUCGGAAUUACUGGGCGUAAAGCGUGCGCAGGCGGUUAUGUAAGACAGAUGUGAAAUGCCCGGGCUUAACCUGGGAACUGCAUUUGUGACUGCAUGGCUAGAGUUUGGCAGAGGGGGGUGGAAUUCCACGUGUAGCAGUGAAAUGCGUAGAUAUGCGGAGGAACACCGAUGGCGAAGGCAAUCCCCUGGGCCUGCACUGACGCUCAUGCACGAAAGCGUGGGGAGCAAACAGG
rnacentral:rRNA from 1 species